GAGGGUGGGCGGAGUUCCCGCGGUGGCCCCGCCCCUGGCUGGGGGCGCCCGAAGCAACCCGGCCUCGCUUGUGGGGAGCCCUACACCCGCGGCCAGUCCGCCCCUGCGGGGGAAAAUGCCGGAGUGAAACUGGAGCGAUUGCCGCCCCGCCACGUGACGGUCCCGCAUCGGCGACCUGGAAGCGGGUGAGCUGCCGCCGCCUCCAAUCUCUCCCGGCGCAGGGGGCCGGGAUGCGGCCAUGCGGCGGCGCGGGAGGCCCGAGAGCGGGGCUCACCCUCCUCAGACUCUGCGGCGGAGAGCCGAGUGAUGAAUAAAUGAGUAACCACAUCAAUAUUUAAGUGUUCACUCGGAGCCUUGGGGCCAGUGUGUCACGGGUUGGGGGAAAUUACAGGCCCUGGUGGGGGGUUAAAUAACUACUUCCACCCAUUAUUAAGUGCCUACUGUGUGCCAGGGCCUAAGUAUUAACGUAUACUUGGUUUAUUAUUGAUAAUAACGAUGUUUAGUAAUUAUAGAUGCUGAAUUUCAGCCAA
rnacentral:lncRNA from 1 species